GCCAAAGUAGCUCAGCUGGGAGAGCGUUAGACUGAAGAUCUAAAGGUCCCUGGUUCGAUCCCGGGCUUUGGCA